UGCAAUCAGACCUGCCUUC
rnacentral:misc_RNA from 1 species